GCCCGCAUGGCUCAGUGGUAGAGCGUGUCACUAGUAUUAUGCUAUGACAAGGUCGUCAGUUCGAUUCUGGCUGUGGGCA